GUUUCUGGGUUCAAAAAAGAACAACGGUGAAGAAACAAUGCAAACAAGAAGACAGCUCCCAUAGAUUUACAUUGUUUUUGGUUUUUCUUUUUCUUGCCAUAUGUUCAUUAUGCCAUGAUUUAAUCGUUUCUCUUCUGCAAUUAGAAAUGAUGAGUUAUUUCUAUCCAAAUUCAUCAAGAAGACAGAUGGAAACAUUUCCAAGUUCCAGACGAAACAGAAAGCUAAGGAACUUUUUGAAGACACGAGUCUAGAAGUAAGAGAGGAAAUCAACCUGAGGCUGCCAUCCAAGUUCGUCUGCAUAACGGAAAGUAGCUUCAUUCACAGCUUGCCAUUCAAUAGCAAACCUCGUUGAACCACUAUUUACCCCCAAAUGAAGCUGAAAGAACAUGAAUAACAAUAUAACAUCAGUAAAUGGGAAAAUUUUCCUUUCUUUCUAUGUGUGACUUAUCUCCUUCUCGUUACUUUUAGUCGAAUAAACAAGUUACCGAAUAUAGUGUAAUAUUGUCACGUUAGAAUAAAAAACAUACUUCUUCAUUUUACUGAGUUUAGACUUUAUGUAAUAAAUACACUCAAUCUAAAAGUCCCAAUAAAUAUAUUCACACCAAACACUUUCAAUAAGCAAAAAUUUCAUUCUCCUCUUUCUACCUUCCCAUAUUUAUCUUCUUUGAACUUUAAAGUGCAAUAGACCAAAAGAGGGUCUACUGUGCUAUAGAAUGAUUUGAAUCACACAACGUUUUAAUUGAGUUGUUGAGUUGAACAGGAUAGAGGAUUUCUUGAGAAGAGUGAUGUACUCAAGAACUCAAGCCUCCGCAUAAUUGUCUAUGUAUUUGUUUCUCAAUGUUUCCUUCGUUAUAGAAUAACUACAUCAGAACUACUAGUGAGCAUUAAGAUUGUGUUCGAUAAAAAGAUUAUGCAAAACAAAAUAGAUGGUAAAAAAACUGACCCAUACGACUUUGUUGGUUUCAGUCACAUUUGAGAUGCCAGAUUCCAGAACUUUGUGGAGCACUGGAAGAGCACCAUCUCCAGCUGCAUCAAGAACUGUGCAACUUCCAAGAGUGACACCAGCAGGUAACCCUUUUUCUUCUACGAAAGCCUUCAAGUCACUGACAAUAGCCUCGGUAGGAUUUUCAGCAACCCCAUGGAAUUUCUUAAAUCCAGUUACGUGAAUUGUAACCCCACUUGGUCCUUCAGAACCCAUUUCUUUCACUUGACCCCGCAAACAAUUCCCCGUUGUUUGUCAAGACUUUUUUUUGCUACUAAGACCUCCCC